AAGGCUUAAAAAGGAGAAGAAGAGAUAAGAAAAGAUGAAUAGGAAAGGAGGAAAAAGGAAAUCACAGGAAAGGUCAAGGACAAGACACAAAGAGUUUGGAGAACAGAUGAAAUGGAGGGAGGAGAUGAGAGGAGAGGAGGUGGAGGAGAGGAGAUGAGAGGAGGUGGAUGAAGAGGAGAUGAGAGGAGGUGGAUGAAGAGGAGAUGAGAGGAGAGGAGGUGGAGGAGAGGAGAUGAGAGGAGGUGGAUGAAGAGGAGAUGAGAGGAGGUGGAUGAAGAGGAGAUGAGAGGAGGUGGAGGAGAGGAGAUGAGAGGAGUUGGAGCCUCCAGAAGGAGAGAUGAAAGGACAGGAUGGGAGGAGGUGAAUUGACUAGUGAAAACAGGGGGAAAGGAUGAGAAGAGAGUAGAAGAGUAGUGAUGACGAUAGGAGAAAAGAGGAAGGGAGAUAAGAGGGGAUGGGGAAAGGAGAGGACAUGAGGAAUUAGGGAAGCAUGGAAAAGGAGAAGAGCUUGCACAAAGGGAGAAGAAAGAAGAUGAGAAGAGCUGUAGGAGAGAAAAGGCGAGGAGCAGAUCAAGGUGGACAGAGAGACACUCUCCAUAAGUCAACAAAAUCAUGAUGGUGACUAUAAGAGAAAGAGCGAGAGAGAGAGAGAGAGAGAGAGAGAGAGAGAGAGAUAGGAGGGAGAGAGAAAAAGAAAAUGUAACAGAGAGAGCAUAGCAAACAGAUCAGAGAUGGAACAUGAACAUGUAACGCAUCAUAAAUGGUGCCACGCUGCAAAGCAUUUACCUAUUUUAGUGAACGCAGUGAACUGUAGA
ensembl:lncRNA